UACGUAGGGUGCAAGCGUUAAUCGGAAUUACUGGGCGUAAAGCGUGCGCAGGCGGUUUUGUAAGUCUGUCGUGAAAUCCCCGGGCUCAACCUGGGAAUUGCGAUGGAGACUGCAAGGCUAGAAUCUGGCAGAGGGGGGUAGAAUUCCACGUGUAGCAGUGAAAUGCGUAGAGAUGUGGAGGAGCACCGAUGGCGAAGGCAGCCCCCUGGGUCAAGAUUGACGCUCAUGCACGAAAGCGUGGGGAGCAAACAGG
rnacentral:rRNA from 1 species